rfam:Corynebacterium sp. HMSC28B08 Corynebacterium_spHMPREF3098-1.0_Cont268.2, whole genome shotgun sequence.
ACUCGGGCACGACCACGCUGUCAGAAAUGAUUCAUGGACCGACCCGAUGUAGAAAACCUGAGGGA